rnacentral:rRNA from 1 species
UACAGAGGUGGCAAGCGUUGUUCGGAAUUACUGGGCGUAAAGGGCGCGUAGGUGGCCAACUAAGUCAGACGUGAAAUCCCUCGGCUUAACCGGGGAACUGCGUCUGAUACUGGAUGGCUUGAAUCCGGGAGAGGGAUGCGGAAUUCCAGGUGUAGCGGUGAAAUGCGUAGAUAUCUGGAGGAACACCGGUGGCGAAGGCGGCAUCCUGGGUCAAGAUUGACGCUCAUGCACGAAAGCGUGGGGAGCAAACAGG